AGUGAACGCUGGCGGUAGGCCUAACACAUGCAAGUCGAACGGCAGCACAGUAAGAGCUUGCUCUUACGGGUGGCGAGUGGCGGACGGGUGAGGAAUACAUCGGAAUCUACUUUUUCGUGGGGGAUAACGUAGGGAAACUUACGCUAAUACCGCAUACGACCUACGGGUGAAAGCAGAGGAUCUUCAGACCUUUCGCGAUUGAAUGAGCCGAUGUCGGAUUAGCUAGUUGGCGGGGUAAAGGCCCACCAAGGCGACGAUCCGUAGCUGGUCUGAGAGGAUGAUCAGCCACACUGGAACUGAGACACGGUCCAGACUCCUACGGGAGGCAGCAGUGGGGAAUAUUGGACAAUGGGCGAAAGCCUGAUCCAGCAAUACCGCGUGGGUGAAGAAGGCCUUCGGGUCGUAAAGCUCUGUUGUUGGGAAAGAAAAGAAGUAGGUUAAUACCUCGAUGUUCUGACGGUACCCAAAGAAUAAGCCACGGCUAACUUCGUG
rnacentral:rRNA from 1 species